GAUUCAUUGCAUUUUCCCUUCUGAAGUUCUUUCUCUGUAAUUCCUACCAUCUAUUGGGAAAGAGAGUUAAAGUAUUCACAUUAUCCUUUUAAAAAGUAUGUUUAAAAACACAUGGGGUGAAUUCAGAAGAAUAGUACUUAAUUUCUGUGAGGGAAAACUAUAAUGUUUUCUUAAAUGAUGUAAAACAAGAUCUCAAAAAUGAAGAACUAAGUUAUGUUUCUAGAUGAAAAGAUUAUAAAAACGGGGUGCAGUGUCACACUUGUAAUCCCAGUGGCUCAGGAGGCCAAGGCAGAAGAAUCUGUUCAAAGCGAGACUCAGCAACUUAUCUAGGCCUUCAACAACUCAGUGUGACCUGUCUCUAAAUAAAAUACAAAAUAGGGAUAGGGAUGUGGCUCAGUGGUUAAGUGCCCCUGGGUUAAAUUCCCAGUACAAAAAAAAGUCAUUUUUUCACUAGUGGAUUUGAUAGGUUUUUGGGCGGUACGGUUGGACCCAGACCUAACCAAAAAAUAUUUUGAAGUUUAUGUAGCAUUUUAAAUGUAUGUUAAAAAGCCAGUAUAACAUAGUGCUUAAGAACACUAUUCUAGAGUCAGACUACCUGCGUUAAUGUGUUGAUUCUACUACUAGUUGAACGUUUUUAAUAGUUAUUUAAUCCCUUUUUGACUCAUGUUGUAACAUGAGGAUAUUGGUUCAUAUUUCUUAGAGUUGUUUGUGGAUAAAACAAGUUAUCAACUAAUCCAAUUUAAUAUAUGUGCCUUAUGCAUAAAAAUGCUUAAUAAAUUAUUUGCUGCCAGCAUUAUAAAAAUUUUACAUUUUACAAAAAAAAUUUAAAAGGACACAGUAAGG
rnacentral:lncRNA from 1 species